AUAUCUCUACCUAUAACCCUUGGCCAGGUGAUUCCUAAGGGGCUGACUCAGUGUUCCAUAUGCGCAGACAGAGCCACACGUAAACAUUAUGGUGCAUCCAGCUGUGAUGGAUGCAAGGGCUUCUUCAGGAGGAGCAUUCGCAACAACCACACUUACAACUGCAGGUUCAACAGGCAGUGUAUUGUGGACAAAGACAAAAGGAACCAGUGUCGUUACUGCAGACUGCAGAAGUGCUUCAAGGCUGGAAUGAGAAAAGAAGCUGUGCAGAAUGAGAGAGACUGCAUCAACAGCCACAGAGCCAAGGGACAGACAGUGGGUACUCUGUCUAUCAGUGUGCUGCUGCGGGCAGAGGCCAGUGUGCAACAGGUAACACACCCUCUGGUCUCACCUAGGAGUCAUGACAUCAACACCAAGCAGACAGCCUGCGUGGGAGUUGUGUUCGAGUCCAUGAAGCAGCAACUCCUCCUACUGGUGGAAUGGGCAAAACACAUCCCAGAGUUUUGUGGUCUCCCAAUAGAUGACAGGGUAACCCUGUUACAGACCCACUCCGCAGAACAUCUUAUCCUAGGGGCAGCAAGACGCUCUUUACCUUAUUUCAAUCUGAUUCUUCUAGGUAACGACUUUGUGAUCCCCCUGAGAAGUGCAGAAGUAGCGGUGUCCAGGGUGGCUUUCAGAAUCCAAGAGGAGCUGGUCAAACCUCUCAGAGAGUUGGACAUCACAGACAAAGAGUUUGCUUGCCUCAGAAGCAUUGUCUUCUUUGCCCCAGAGUGUCCUGGUUUGAAGAGUCCUCAGGUGGUUCGACAUCUGCGUUUCCAGGCCCAUCUGCUGCUAGAAGAAGCAACCUGUGAGAAGCGGGGAAGGUUUGGGGAGCUCCUGCUGAUCCUGCCUCCCCUGCAGAGUGUGGCCUUGCAGAUGGUGGAGACACUACACCUAGCACAGCUACUAGGCGAGGCCAGUAUGGACAACCUGCUGCAGGAGAUGCUGCUGGGGGAGGGAGCCAAAGCAGGACAGGGUAGGAGACACUGCUACAGGAUUUCCUUGCAAGAAAUUGACUUAAUCUAUACACAAAAUGAGCAAAGAGUUUCUCCCACAAACUUCGUCUCUGUCAUCUCUCACGUUUCAACAUGUGAGCACUCGCAAUCUAUCACAACAGUCCACAUUGUAGUCUUAUCAAGUCCAACAGUCAGAAACCAUCAAAAAAACAAAUAUAUUCAUCAUGGUUUUUACAUUUUGACAUUUGUAUCCUUGAAACUGAAAUGUAUUGAUGGACACUGA
rnacentral:lncRNA from 15 species